rnacentral:rRNA from 1 species
ACGACUCUCGGCAACGGAUAUCUCGGCUCUCGCAUCGAUGAAGAACGUAGCGAAAUGCGAUACUUGGUGUGAAUUGCACAAUCCCGUGAACCAUCCAGUCUUUGAACGCUAGUUGCGCCCGAAAGCCGUUAGGCCGAGGGCACGUCUGCCUGGGUGACAAA